rnacentral:lncRNA from 1 species
AUUCACUAAUUGGCCAGAUUGAUAGCAGUAAUCCAUUACAACCUACUUGAAAGCCCCACAAUCCCUUAAUUUAGCUCUAGACAUCAAAACAUAACUACCUAUAAACAAUAGACGGUAGAUGAUAGGCCACUUCCUUUUAGAUCAAUAACCAUAGUACUUCCUUCAAACCCCUCCAAGUGAAAACCCCUAAUAAGCAACUCAACACAUAAAAUAAAUAAAUAUAGUGACAAAGGGCAUCCCUAUCUAAGACUUACCUAAUAGAAAAAGAAUCUUAAAGGGGAACCAUUGACUAACACAGCACACGUCGACAC